GACGAACGCUGGCGGCGGGCCUAACACAUGCAAGUCGAACGGAAAGGCCCUGCUUUUGUGGGGUGCUCGAGUGGCGAAGGGGGGAGUAACACGUGUGUAACGUGCCCUUGAGUUUGGGAGAAAUUAAGGAAACUGGGGCUAAUAUCGGAUAGGAGAUCCUGCAGCAUGGUGGGGGUUGGAAAGUUUCGGCGGUUGGGGAUGGACUCGCGGCUUAUGAGCUUGUUGGUGGGGUAGUGGCUUACCAAGGCUUUGACGGGUAGCCGACCUGAGAGGGUGACCGGCCACAUUACGCCUGAGCUACGGCCCAGACUCCUACGGGAGGCAGCAGUGGGGAAUAUUGCACAAUGGGCGGGAGCCUGAUGCAACAACGCCGCGUGCGGGAUGACGGCCUUCGGGUUGUGAACCGCUUUCGCCUGUGACGAAGCGUGAGUGACGGUAAUGGGUGAAGAAGCACCGGCUAACUACGUG
rnacentral:rRNA from 1 species